CCCUCACUAUCACCUUUAAUUAUAUCUCUAGACAAUUUGUAUAGUGUUUUUCAUGCAAAUUCCCUUAUUAGAAAAUAUGAGGUAUCCCUUCAAGAAUUGAUCCAGUCUCCUUUUCUGCCUGUAGCCGAUAGCUUUUGACUUCAGGCCACAUACUAUUUUCUUCGCCCACAUGUAACAUGCACCGUCACAGUGAAAUAGAAUCUCUGACUGUAUGAAUGUCAAAACAUUGCUAAUGUGGAAUCCAGCCUCCCGAGUUUGCUCUGAGCACAGCUACUGCAAAAUCCAAUCUAUUUUAUCACUCUGUCUUCUUGCUGGAUUUAGCAGCUUCAUAAUUCCACACCUCUGUCAAUGAGACCUUCAUUAUGCAGACUUCUAAACAUUUUACUUGUGGAAAGAAUAAACAACAUAUUUAGUACUAAUGAGGUGAGAUAUUGCUUUUUUAUUUGCAUUACUGUUUAAUGAUUGUGAUAUCUCCAGCACUCUGAGCUCUGAGAGCUUGUUUUGAUUGAUGCAAUUUUUCUUACAGACACCUAGUUACUUACACGGCACAGUUUGUCUCAUGUUUGGAAUGUGUGGCUUCAGAAUUACAGCAAAAUGAAGUGCCCAUCUUCCACUCACCAUGGUUGCUAUACAGAUUUUAUCUACUCGCCUUGAGCUCAUCUGCCCUGCAAACCCAAUUCUGCCUGUGGAUCUUCAAGACUGGAAUUCGUGUAUGACCUCCUCAUCAUUUCAUUCUUCGAGUCCUCCAGUACUUUUGGUCUUCAGAGUGUUCUCUGACCCCUCCUGCUCCAGCAGCUUUUGGAUGUUUUUGCAUCUCAGUGAAUAACCUCUUGAUAGUUCCAGUUCUCUAGUAAGUGGGAGAAUUCCAAUUCACACGUAUUUACUCCUGUACUCCAGGAAAUAAGAACUAAGAUGAGUCUGAACAAUAAAACAACAUUUUUCUACAUGCUAUCAGUGCAAGAGAUAACUCAGUCUCAACAUAGCUGGAUCCUAACUGGCCAAUCAAAUACAAAUUAAAUGUCCAGAAAAUCAUGGGCUCUUAAGAAUCGGUUCUCAAAUAUGAUUGGAUACAGAAUCUUGGUAUUGGAGGGUGGGGAGUCUUGAGAAUAGCAUUCCUAGAUGCCUCUCAGAACAACUCAGGCAGAGGCUUGGGAGAUGAGUGUAAUAGAGAAUGUGCACCUUGUUUUCUGAACGUUUGCCUGAUGAUUUUAAUGUACAAUGACAGUUCAGAACUAUAGCUUUUAAAGAACAUAUGCAAAGGGAAAGAAAUCCAUGUUCAGCAGCUUUUUAAAAACUCACUAGGAAGUCAAAAAAUAUAAUAUUGACUGGAGUAUAUAAGAACAUAAUAAUGGACUAAAAUAUAAUAAUUUGACUUCCCCUAUAACGUCUACAGGAAGUCCAUAACAUGAAUUCCAUUGACUCUUCAUAGAGAAGAGAACAAAAAGGAAACUGAACCAAAGGACACUGAUGUUGCAAGGUGGCCACAGUUUGGGUUAGUACCUCAGAGCUUCCUUUUGGCACGUACUUUGACCAAGAAGCUCUACAUUUUAAUGACACAUUUUUGACCGAAUUGUCUUAAAGAUACUUUAUUCUGCAAGAUCAUAUCCAUAUCUUUCCCUUGGAAUAACAUUAUUGUUCCCAAACUCAUGAUUUUUGGAAAGAAAAUAAAACAUGGUAGUAUUGAAAAACAGAUCAAGCCACAGUCAAUAAUGGAUCAGAACUUUUAGUCUGAAAAUAAAAAUAUGUCAUAUACCUCUAGUGAUUAACAGUUCCCUUUUAUUUAUUGAAAAACCUGGUGGUUGGUUGUAUAACUUCAUCAGAUCUCCCUAAAAGUAUUUGUGUUCAUGGCACCCCUCUCCAGUACUCUUGCCUGGACAAUCCUAUGGACAGAGGAGCCUGGUGGGCUGCAGUCCAUGGGGUCGCUAGGAGUCGACUGAGCGGCUUCACUUUCACUUUUCACUUUCAUGCAUUGGAGAAGGAAGUGGCAACCCACUCCAGUGUUCUUGCCUGGAGAAUCCCAGGGACUGGGGAGCCUGGUGGGCUGCCGUCUAUGGGGUCUCACAGAGUUGGACACGACUGAAGCGACUUAGCAGCAGCAGCAGCAUAGACACAGUGCAGGGUUUCUCAGUAUUUCUAACAUCUCUCUUUAAUUACACAGCAAGCCUUUGUGUACUUCACUCUUAUACACAGGCUCCCCAACUAGUAGUACCAUUGUGCUGAACACAGUAUGUGGCUUCUCUAUUUCUGCAAAACAGCUUUCUCACAGACAUUUCAUCCAUAGACUAAGGGAUUCACUACAGAUUGUCUUCACCAAGUGGAAAUAUUACAUUUUUGCUAUUAAAGUUUUUCUUCUUUCCUUUACCUAAGUCACAAUCUUUUCCUCUGUGGGGAAAUCCACUAAAAAAACAAGUGCAUGACUGGACCAAUGCCUUCUCUUUGUAAGAAAAACCAUAAGAUAUGUUAAUCCUAUAUGUAUCAGAAAUUCCAGAUCAUUUUUCUUAGUUUAAUAUAAAAUUUCACACUUCAUUCCUUUUUUUAUUUAAAAAGCAGGAAGUCUCCUAGGACUUUUCUAAUUUGUACAGCACGACUUUACAUUUAGACAUAUUAAUGUUUGGAAUCAAGUCCGUCAAAAUUUUUAUCCUUAAAUUAUAGAAAAGAAACACUUUUCAAAAAAAUUUCACAGACUGGCUUAUCUACAGACUUAUUUUCAAUCUUUCACUCAAAUCACCAAUACACAUGGCUUCAAUUUACCAGAAAAGAUUUUGCCAUUCAGAAUAUUGUGCAACAAUAUUAUUGUCUGUAUUUUUUUUAUUUAUUCCUUUCUUUCUUCAUUAAUCAUCAACUGUUACAGGGAGUGGUGCUAAAAUUGCCUAUAGACAAUAUACACAUGAGUUUAUGACAAUAUUGUUUCUGUUGUCAGAUAUCUUGAAAUUCAAAUGCUGUGAAAGAGAUGGAAAAAAUUGAAUAAAAUAAUGCAAUCAGA
rnacentral:lncRNA from 1 species